UCGGAACCCAAGCCAGUAAUGCCAGUUCUGU
rnacentral:piRNA from 1 species